UCCAGACUCCUACGGGAGGCAGCAGUGGGGAAUAUUGCACAAUGGGGGAAACCCUGAUGCAGCGACGCCGCGUGAGUGAAGAAGUAUUUCGGUAUGUAAAGCUCUAUCAGCAGGGAAGAGAAUGACGGUACCUGAGUAAGAAGCCCCGGCUAACUACGUGCCAGCAGCCGCGGUAAUACGUAGGGGGCAAGCGUUAUCCGGAUUUACUGGGUGUAAAGGGAGCGUAGACGGCGAAGAAAGUCUGAAGUGAAAGCCCGCGGCUCAACCGCGGAACUGCUUUGGAAACUUUUUUGCUGGAGUACCGGAGAGGUAAGCGGAAUUCCUAGUGUAGUGGUGAAAUGCGUAGAUAUUAGGAGGAACACCAGUGGCGAAGGCGGGUUCCUGGACAUUAACUGACGCUGAGGCACGAAGGCCAGGGGAGCGAAAGGGAUUAGAUACCCCGGUA
rnacentral:rRNA from 1 species